UGAGUGGCGAACUGUGAUAAUAAGAUAUAUAUUUUUGCUCUUUGCAGGUAAGAACGGAGAGUUGGAAUUGUGUAAUUGAUGAGUGAAUAUGUUAUGUGUGAGUUUAUGAUCCCGGUUGGACUUUAUGUAGUAGUGUUUAUGAACGUUACUUGUUCAGCAAACGUAACGUACUGAAAAUGGCUAGCCAGUAGUUAGCACUGGUGGCCUAGUUAGCUUGAGCGAGCGUGAGGCGGGAAAGUAGAACUAUGAGCCGGUCUAAAGAGCCCGGACUGCUCGUGUAUAGUUAAUAGAUAAAUAAAUAAGUUAAAAGAGAUACAUAAUUGAUUUGGUUAAUGUGACAAUGUUAGGUAGACAUGAUUGGCUGACUGUAUCAGAGCAACAAAUUGAUAUUGAAUGUACAAGAUGAAACUGGUCUGGAAUAGCAAUGCAACAGACAUGAUUAUUGUUUGGAUGUUGAUGCAGAUGUUCAUUAUGUUUCUGUGUUAGUAUAGUAAAUACGUGCACAGAGAACGUAAACACACACUAGAGUGAAGUCACGGUGUAUGUGUGGCGAACUGUGAUAAUAAGAUAUAUAUUUUUGCUCUUUGCAGAACAAAAUAAAAGACUCAAAUUAAAUGUGUAGUGGAGGGCUACUUCACUCUGUACCACGCUACAUAUUCACUGAAUUUCACUCUGUCUUUAACGGCUCGUCGUUGGAGCUCCAAUAGCUCCAGCCCAUGGAUGUAUGGGUAAACCAUGCAUGUAUUCAGAGGGGUAAACACAGUUAAGCAGCCAUUCAACAGGACUGCUAAGAGAUAAACAUGAUGGGACAUUCCGCCGGUCGUCGUGGAAACGCUGAGAAAGCACAGCUGGGCGGGAGAAUAUGAGGUAAUCUCACCCUGGGGCUACUGGGUAAAUAUUGGUCUUAAAUAAGGAGUAAAACCCCAAAAGAGGCACACACACACACACACACACACACACACACACACAGGGGUUUAUCCCCAGUUGAAAACACACAGGACAGACCUUCACACAGAGACUCAUAAUAGCCCGUUUCCUGCUCUGCUCUGUUAUUAUUGUUUACACUGAGAGGGAAAUUAAUGAUAGUUUGUGGUAAGUAUAUGUGAAAGUAAACAGGUUUGACAGAAACAACCUCAGUUUAAAGAGGAAAUAUCAUCAAGAAGCCUGGAUGUUCAAUUCAGUUAUAGUUGGGGUAAGCAGCUUUUGGGAAAUUAGCAUGAGUAAACUAGAUUCUGAAAGUAUACACAUGGAAAACCCCCCUCACUUCAGGCUUUGUUCUAAAGCCACUACUCCAAAACAUUGGGAAGAGUUGGGAAGAUAAGUGCAGCACAUCCUUGUCAUCACUGACCAUACUUUUCUACAUCAUGUCUCUGGAACAAACAAGAAAACAACUCUGUAUAGGGACAUUUAGUCUGGAUAAGACUUUGGUCACGAACAAUGAGUUUUAUUAUGUAUGAUUGUAGGUAAAUGGGCUAUAUGUACAAUAUAACAAAAAAUGCUUCUAAAAACGAAUUCCCUACCCUUGCCUUAAAUUGAUAUAAACAUAGCAUGAAAAGUAAGGACAUUUGAGUUUGGGAGAUUACUGUACUAUAGAUUUGCAGUCAAGGUUUGCCGGACGAUAUGGCCGACGGCUCUCUGCCCAGACAAUCCAGACCAAACUGCACGCAACCAAUCUCAUCUCAUAGGGCUGCCAGGAGGCUGCUAUAACUGCGCUUAAAUUAAUAAAUUGUUAAAUUACCAAUAUGUCUGUUUAGUCAGACUUCAAUCAUCCAAUCCACCAAACAAGAAUCAACAGCAAAAAAAAGCUGUUUGGCAUUGGCAGAGAACAUUUGACACAUUUUUCAUUGGCGUAACCCACAGCUCUGGUUUAAACCUCUGGGGAUCAUGAAUAUCUGUAUCUAAUAUCAAGGUAUGCCAUUCAAUGUAGAUCGAAGAUAAGUACUGCAGAUUGUUGAUCAAGACAAACAAAUGCAAUGUAGCACUUCAGUCCAUAAACGCAUUAUUUUACAGCUCAUAGCAGAAAUACACUCUUGACACUAAACCCCUUGUGGAAUCAGCACUAGAUAGUUGUUAGUUUGGCCUUGACUGUAAUGUAUUGUCUUUCAUACUGUUUUGUAAAUCUUUCUCGCUCUGCCCAUCUUUUUAAAGUGUGCUUCUCAGGUACCUGUGUUGCUAAAGUUGUGGUUGGGUGUUGGAGGCGCGGUUGGCAGUAUGAAGAUUUGCUGAUUGAGCACACCUGGCUGCUGGCACCGGAGGAUUGAAAGGCCUGAGCCAGAGUCUCGAUCACUCUCUCCGCGGAGGACCUGUUCUGGGAGCGGCCACUCUCUCUUAUACUUUUGCCUUGCCUUUAUGUUAGUGUUGGUUCCCGUUGAGUUCUGGUUAAUAAAUAUAUUUUCUUAUAUAUAUUCUUGUCCUUUCCACACUUUUUGUUAUGGCCAAGAGCCAGGCGUGAAAGCGCCUAUUGUGUCUUACAAACUUGGCAGGCCGGAUUGGCAGGAUUAGAUUUCCUAACAACUACACUAGCUUUUGUGCAUAUGACACUAAAACCUUUGAAUUAAAGCAUGUUUUUGAAUGCAACAACUUGUGCCAUUACAUUAUUUUUAGUAAGUAAUGCAAGCCCCAAUAAUUGAAAUAACUUAAUAACAGAAUGUUUUCUUUGAAAUGAAUUUUAUUCAAAACAUAAUGCAAGUUAUUGAAAGAAGUUAAUAUUAUUAAGCACACUGAGCAGUGCAGCUGCAGGCGAGGUGGGCUUCUGCUGUUUCCCUCAGGUCCACGCUCUUAUCAUAGAUAUUCUCGGGGCAAUUCUGGGCAGCAUCU